AGAAAUACCCGCGUGCCAGAGGCGAGCGCCCGCCACGCAGCCGGCCAGAGUAGCCUGGGGACUGUCACUCCUCCUCUGUGGCACGUCCUUGUAGAUACUCAGGUUCGGGGGAGAGAUAUCACAGCUUCUUUGAAGUCAGCUUCAGCAUUUGCAUAUUCCACCCAGCUGCAAGGAAUCUCAGAGAAGCCAGCAGCCAGCUCUGAUUUGACGCGUCUCUAGAAUAAUUGCUAGGAAUCAUUCCUGCAGAAAUGCUUGGACGAGGAUUUUUCACAGGAGCACGGAAUGUAAUGAAGAUAAAAACUAGAUCAUGACAAUAAAACCCAAAAUGACUCA